GACAGGAGCCUGCUGAGGAGGUACAGCCAAGGAGAACUCUCCCCGGAUGCUGAGGACCCCUUCCCCGAGGUCCUGCUGAGCCUGGAGCUGGGGGACCUGUCCGGCCCCCUCCUGAAGACCACACAGCCUGAAAGACUGUCCUUGCACAAAGCAGACAAGAAAAUUUUUUACAGGAACUGUGUGAAGAGCAUCCACAAGGGUGGACUGAGCAACAGGCCCCCCACUGUGUGGUCACAGAGACCGGGACAGGCUGGACCUGCACCCGGCCCACAGUGGAGGAUUUUAUACAAGCCCCCCUUUGAGAAAACGGACUGGAGACCUCCAGUGGAGGAUUUUACACGGUGCCAUCGCCUCCAAUGCUUUUAUCUCUGUCCUCAACCCUGCUGUUUUAAACACAUGCCCCUUCUGCCAUCAGAGAGAGACUAUUUAUCACGUUUUUACUGAGUGCAAGAGGCUCACAGGCUUCUUCACUCUUUUAACGGCAGUUUUUAGUCUUUUUAGUGUUGCUUUUACUGAGAGAACUUUUAUUAUGGGAGCUGGCUACAAACAAAAAGAAAAAAACAAGUGGCAGCUCCUUAAUUUUAUCUCAGGGGAAGCUAAGAUGGCGAUUUAUGUCAGCAGAAGGAACAAGGUUGAGGGCAGAGAAGGACAGGAUGUCAGAGAGGUGUGGCAGGUCAACGUCAAAUCCAGACUCUGGCUCGAAUACCGGUUUUUUAAACAAAACAAUGAUUUAAAUGCUUUUAAAGAGGUCUGGUGUUUUAAGGACAUUCUGUGCUGUAUGGACAACAAUCAACUUCAUUUUGCACAUUUUUUAAUUUGAAAGCAUGAAUGGUUUUUAAGAGUCUGACACACACUGUAUUACUGUGAACUGUGCAAAUAAAAGUGUCUUUAAAAAUCAAAAAAAAAAAUCUCUCUCUCUCUCUCUCUCUCUCUCUCUCUCUCUCUCUCUCUCUCUCUCUCUCUCUCUCUCUCUCUCUCUCUCUCUCUCUCUCUCUCUCUCUCUCUCUCUCUCUCUCUCUCUCUCUCUCUCUCUCUCUCUCUCUCUCUCUCUCUCUCUCUCUCUCUCUCUCUCUCUCUCUCUCUCUCUCCCCCUCCCCCCUUCUACCUGUCGGUGAGCAGGCUGUGUGGGCAGCUCCUCAGCUGAUUGGAGUCUCCUGUCCAGAGUGGCUUCAUCUGUUUCUCGUGCUCAGCUGUCUAUUUAAGCUGGCUGCAGUCCACACUCUGACACUGGAUCGCUGAACUCCCUGACCUGGACCUCCUCUGUCUAUCCCCUUGCCUGCCACCUGCUCACCUGGCUGCCCUGGAGCUCGGUACCCCCCGGACUCGUCUCCCAGACUGUUACCCCACCAGGCUGCUAGAGUCUCAGAACCGUCCACAGCUGCUGGGAAAGCAGCACCUCGUCUCCUCGGCCUCGGAGUCGGCCCUCGGACCGGAUCUGUUAAUUAAUAAACCUGAUAAACCCUGA